ensembl:lncRNA
GCAGGAGUGGGAGCGACGGGCUAAGGAGCGCUGUCAGGACAGAUUGAUGGAGCUGCUCAUUCACGGCGACGCCGGGCCCAUUUAUAAAGCAGUAAUUGCUGCUGUGAUAUCGACACUCUUCCUCCCUCAACGUUAACCCCUGCCACCCUCCUCCUCCCGGCGUCCUCGCGCUCAUCCAGCUCGCAGAGGGACAUCUCGUCCGAGAGCGGCGUGUCUCUGGUGAAGGUUGAGUGGAGCAGCGUGGACGUACUGAAGGUAGAGAGACACGUUCCAAAGAGACAGCAGCAAGAUGACACCCUGUCACUGCGCUGAUUGGAUAGCACGGACCAGCUGAUCCGAGUGGCUCACAUCGUGAUUGACAGCUCAGAACCACGAGCACAGCGACGUAAUGAGGCAGAUGGGAG